rnacentral:pre_miRNA from 11 species
GUACUGCUUCAUGAACGUAUACUGAAUGUAUCCUGAGUGCUAUCUAUCCGGUAUACCUUCAGUAUACGUAACAGGAGGCUGCAC